UGAGGAAUCUUGCGCAAUGGGGGCAACCCUGACGCAGCCACGCCGCGUGCUGGAAGACGGCCCUAUGGGUUGUAAACAGCUUUUACUGGGGAAGAACCUGGACCUUUCGAGGACCACUGACGGUACCCAGUGAAUAAGCACCGGCUAACUCCGUGCCAGCAGCCGCGGUAAUACGGAGGGUGCAAGCGUUGUCCGGAAUCAUUGGGUGUAAAGGGUGCGCAGGCGGGCUACUAAGUCGGGGGUGAAAUCUUGCCGCUUAACGGUAAAAUGGCCUUCGAUACUGGUAGUCUUGAGUCCAGAAGAGGCCGGUGGAAUUCGUGGUGUAGCGGUGAAAUGCAUAGAUAUCACGAAGAACACCAGUGGCGCAGGCGGCCGGCUGGUCUGGUACUGACGCUGAGGCACGAGAGCGUGGGGAGCGAACAGGAUUAGAUACCCCCGUAGUCC
rnacentral:rRNA from 1 species